rnacentral:rRNA from 1 species
GACGAACGCUGGCGGCGUGCUUAACACAUGCAAGUCGAACGGAAAGGCCCUGCUUUUGUGGGGUGCUCGAGUGGCGAACGGGUGAGUAACACGUUAGUAACCUGCCCUUGACUUUGGGAUAACUUCAGGUAACUGGGGCUAAUACCGGAUAGGAGCUCCUUCUGCAUGGUGGGGGUUGGAAAGUUUCGGCGGUUGGGGAGGGACUCGCGGCUUAUCAGCUUGUUGGUGGGGUAGUGGCUUACCAAGGCUUUGACGGGUAGCCGGCCUGAGAGGGGGACCGGCCACAUAGGGACUGAGAUACGGCCCAGACUCCUACGGGAGGCAGCAGUGGGGAAUAUUGCACAAUGGGCGGAAGACUGAGGCAGCAACGCAGCGCGCGGGAUGACGGCCUUCGGGUUGUAUACCGCUUUCGCCUGUGACGAAGCGUGAGUGACGGUAAUGGGUAAAGAAGCACCGGCUAACUACGUG